UACGUAGGGGGCAAGCGUUGUCCGGAUUUAUUGGGCGUAAAGAGCUCGUAGGCGGCUUGGCAAGUCGGGUGUGAAAACUCCAGGCUCAACCUGGAGAUGCCACUCGAGACUGCUAUGGCUAGAGUCCGGUAGGGGACCACGGAAUUCCUGGUGUAGCGGUGGAAUGCGUAGAGAUCCGGAAGAACACCGGUGGCGAAGGCGGCCUGCUGGGCAGUUGCUGACACUGAGGCGCGACAGCGUGGGGAGCAAACAGG
rnacentral:rRNA from 1 species